AGGGUUUGAUUCUGGCUCAGGACGAACGCUGGCGGCGUGCCUAACACAUGCAAGUCGAACGGAGUUCUUACGGAUGAAGCUUCGGCCGAUGAAGUUUGAACUUAGUGGCGGACGGGUGAGUAACGCGUGAGCAACCUGCCUUACAGAGGGGGAUAACAGUCGGAAACGGCUGCUAAUACCGCAUGACAUAGGGAGAGGGCAUCCUUUCCUUAUCAAAGAUUUUAUCGCUGUAAGAUGGGCUCGCGUAUGAUUAGAUAGUUGGUGAGGUAACGGCUCACCAAGUCGACGAUCAUUAGCCGGACUGAGAGGUUGAACGGCCACAUUGGGACAGAGAUACGGCCCAG
rnacentral:rRNA from 1 species